UACGUAGGGUGCAAGCGUUGUCCGGAAUUAUUGGGCGUAAAGAGCUCGUAGGCGGUUUGUCGCGUCUGCUGUGAAAACUCAGGGCUUAACCCUGAGCCUGCAGUGGGUACGGGCAGACUAGAGUGUGGUAGGGGAGAUCGGAAUUCCUGGUGUAGCGGUGGAAUGCGCAGAUAUCAGGAAGAACACCGGUGGCGAAGGCGGUGGGCUGGGCCGGCACUGACGCUGAGGAGCGAAAGCGUGGGGAGCGAACAGG
rnacentral:rRNA from 1 species